UACGUAGGUGGCAAGCGUUGUCCGGAAUUAUUGGGCGUAAAGCGCGCGCAGGCGGUCCUUUAAGUCUGAUGUGAAAGCCCACGGCUCAACCGUGGAGGGUCAUUGGAAACUGGGGGACUUGAGUACAGAAGAGAAGAGUGGAAUUCCACGUGUAGCGGUGAAAUGCGUUGAGAUGUGGAGGAACACCAGUGGCGAAGGCGACUCUUUGGUCUGUAACUGACGCUGAGGCGCGAAAGCGUGGGGAGCAAACAGG
rnacentral:rRNA from 1 species